AGGAUGGGUCACCAUGUGGCACAGCUGGCUGUGUUCAUCAGUGACCCAGCCAAGGACAUCAGCAGGCAGGCCAGGGAGGGGAUUUACUGGCUCUACCAGCUGCUGCUGCACCAAAGGGGGCUGACCAUCCAUGAAGCAGAAUAUCUGUAGUGCUGGGACUGGCACCAGGACAGCAGGCUCCUGGGCUACAAGAAUACAGCCAGGGUGGGGGAGGUCUUUGGAAAGUUCUUCUUGGAGGGGCAGAGAAGAUUCUUCCUCCAGAUGGCAGUGCUGGCCAUCCAUGACUCCUUCCUG